CAGCCGCCACGGUAAUACGUAGGGACCAAGCGUUGUUCGGAUUUACUGGGCGUAAAGGGCGCGUAGGCGGCAAUUCAAGUCAUCUGUGAAAUCUCCGGGCUUAACUCGGAACGGUCAGAUGAUACUGCUUUGCUAGAGUACAGAAGGGGCAAUCGGAAUUCUUGGCGUAGCGGUGAAAUGCGUAGAUAUCAAGAGGAACACCUGAGGUGAAGACGGGUUGCUGGUCUGUAACUGACGCUGAGGAGCGAAAGCGUGGGGAGCGAACAGGAUUAGAUACCCCGGUAGUCCCUGUCUCUUAUAC
rnacentral:rRNA from 1 species